rnacentral:lncRNA from 1 species
CCAGGAACAACUAUUUAUUGAAUACACUUAUAUAUCUUCCUCAGUGCGGGGUGCUUUUUCCAUUUAUUAACACAACCACCUAUGUUACAGAUAAAGAGACAGACACUCCUUUGGAGGGGAGAAGAGGAGUGCAGUUCACCUCUAGGGGCUGGGAGUGGGAGUUCAUCUCCCUGGACAAUAGCUUUUGGGAAUCCAGUUUGAAAUUGGCGCUGAAGGGCUGCUCUGCAUGCAGCCACGGAAAUGAAAGAAGGAUUUGGGAGAAUCCCCUAGGCGGAAAUGUUUAGUAGGAAGACCUAGUGACGGGGGUAAAUUUGCUAUACACUUACCGACAGCCCCCUUCAAGUGAAAGCAUCUAGGGCUACGACUAGAGGCAUGCUUUGGGCCGUCUGCUCCUUCUCUCAGGGACAGGGUGGGGCUCUUGCAGGAGUGACGGAGGGCGGUCCGGAACUGACAGCCGUGCGCAGGAAGGCCACUCAGUGCUUUGUCUUCUCUCCCACUUUUGGGCAACACGAGGCAGCGCUGCCUCCGAGCCUGGUCUAACGCUGCCAAGGACAGGCGUUGGCAAAGAGCCCUCUUUGCAAACAGGAUUCACAGAGAAUUAAGGGGCGGGUGGGGGACUCAGGGACCUCCUAGGCUAGGCCUGGGCCCCAGCGCUCUCGCAACGAAAAUCUGGCUAGCUGGCUUAGAGUCCGCCGGGUCUGGGAGCUCCGCCUGCGCCGGCCCGGCGCUGCCCCCGCGGGAGGCCGCGUCUUCUUUGUAACUCGAGCGGGCCCGGGCGGGCCGGUUGCUAUGGGAACGCUGCUCGCCCGGCUCUGGGAGGAGCGAGGCGGGCCUUGGCGGACAUUACCCAGACUCCGUGUGGGGUGCUGCCCCACCCCCAACUAAUAACUUGCCAGAAAGGAAGUCGCAAGGUAGAUGUCUUCUAAGUGAAGGCUCCAGGGGCCGCAUUAGUAUAGAAGGGGUCAGGAUCUCCCCCCACCAGCCUCCCUCUAAGUCCGCUCCUGCCAACGAUUUUAACGGUCCUUCCAAGUAGGGAGGACAGAGCGUUGUAAUUUGGCAGAUUCGGUCAGACGGGCCACGCCCAUCCCGAGGGGGACUAGCUCUAGACCACGCCCCUUCCUCGGGCGCGCGGAAGGAGGACCGAAAUGGAAGGGUGGGGAUCUUGGUUGAACUGAGCCAGCGCAACUAAUCGCGCGAAAGCCUAGGAGGGGCAGUGUUCCGCAGGCGUCCUCCGAGGCCGCCCCGCCCCGCCGUUUUCGCUUGGCUUUGCGCCUGCGCACUUGCUCCCGCCAGCUCAACUGCCGG